rnacentral:rRNA from 1 species
UACCAGCCCCCCGAGUGGUCGGGACGUUUUAUUGGGCCUAAAGCAUCCGUAGCCGGUUCUACAAGUCUUCCGUUAAAUCCACCUGCUUAACAGAUGGGCUGCGGAAGAUACUAUAGAGCUAGGAGGCGGGAGAGGCAAGCGGGUACUCGAUGGGUAGGGGUAAAAUCCGUUGAUCCAUUGAAGACCACCAGUGGCGAAGGCGGCUUGCCAGAACGCGCUCGACGGUGAGGGAUGAAAGCUGGGGGAGCAAACCGG